GUAGCUGAUUUCGUUUUGGGCUUGGAGAAGUGGAUUUCAAGUGGUGUGUUUAGAGUAAGGGAGAUGCACAAGCAAAGCACACGACCCACACCUUAUCCAGCAAAGAUGGAGGUGCAUGAAGAAGCCAAAAAAAAAUGGAAGACAACACGCUGUCCAGCAAUUGGAUGAAGAGGCAUUUUCGGUCCAGCAAGGUACGCAUGGAGAGGGUGUGCACGUUGGAAGAAAACCAAUAGGAGGUGCUGCCACGUCUUUGAAUGGAAGUGUCGCGCACGCUUGCAGAGAAAUUGGUGUGCACGUUGAGGGGGGUGCACUCGGUCCAACAGCUGCUACAUCCAGAAACUUGGAGUGGGAUACAUACGUCCAUCACAGCAGCGUCUAGGAGGUGUGUGAUUGGAGAGGUGCACGCUCACGGGCUGAAGACCAAAAGUAGCUGCUACGUCCACAUGCUGCCACGUCCACACAACCCAUCAGCACACGUCCACGGUCCAGCAAGGGAGGUGCUUGGACUAAAGAAAGGUGUUACAUCCAGCUAUCAUUGUUUUUCCAUUUGAACACUUGGUCACGGCUUGGAUGGAGUGCAGCACGCUGAUCUCAAUGGGCUGGACUUCACGCUCCCAACUGAUUCACGUGGCACAGCAGCAACACGUAGAGAGGGCCCAUGGAGAAUUAAUUUUGGAGAAGCUUCUUUUAAAAUGAAGAAGUGGUGCUGGAAGAAAAAGGGAUGCCACGGCCCACACUUGGCAGCGCCCAGCAGUUGCCACGUCCACUAAGUCCAGCAACACAGCUGAAGGGAGUUGGGGGUGGAUUUAAAGCUCCAGCCGCCACUUGUUUUGGGAGGAAAAAAAACGAUGAUUGAAGAACGUGUUGGUUACGGCUGAGGAGUGAGCGGUGAUUAAUUUUUGAAGAGGAGAGGCUGAUGUGGAGAGAAAGAAAAAAGCUCACGGACACCGAAGAUGGAGGGUUACGACUGGUUUCUUUUCCUCAUUCAAGUAGGAAGGUUGCAUUCAUUUCUUUAGAAGAAGCUCAUCUUCAUCACGCUGGCAGCAAUUCACACGGACGGCCUGGAAGAAAGAGCACACGCCGCCACCACCUUUUGGAUUCACUUUAUUUUGCUGUUAGAGGUUGAAGCAAAAUGACUCAUUUCAUUUUUAUUCUACUGUCCGAGCAUUUAUUGUUUUUUUUAAGUGUUGUUCGGUGAUGGAUUCCUGAGGAAUGUUUGUUUAAUUUUUCAUUGAAUUGAAAGUGCAUUUUAAUUUAGUUGGAAGCCGUGCACACUGUUACGGUCUGGAUGGAAUCCUUGAUUACACUAUUUCUUUUAGAAAGUAAAGCAUAUGCUUCAUUAGCGGAUAGGUGCUGCACGGAGAAUGGAUGGAGCAAGGGCACGAUGAUUCAUUGCAUGUGGAAGCACAUGGGUUCAAUUAAGGGUUGCUGCCAAAAAAAGGGAAGAAGGACGUGCUGCGUUCUUGACUUUGAGGGUGCCUAAAAAAGGUUGGACUGCAGGAGAGGGGAUUCUUGCUACUAGUCUGUUUAUGUACUACCUAUAUUUUGAUUAGAGGGUUAGAGAGGUGUUUUAUAUUUUUGACGUGAGGUCUCUAUAAAAACCUUGUUGUAAAAACCUUGUUGUAAAAACCUUGAUCAUUAUAGUGCACUGGCUUCUUGUGGUUGGAAGGACACUAGAUGUAGGCUUGACCGAACCAGUAUAAAAACUCAGUGUUUGAUCUUUCUUAUCCCUACUCUUUUACAUUCAAUUGACUAUACUUUAUAUGCAUUCGAUUAAAUUUUCUCGGCAUUGAAAAUCUUUUAACUUGCAUUUCAAGAAAAAUAUAAAGGUAGCUCUUUUCGUGAAAAAGAUUUUGAAAGUUUUAUAUUUUAUAUUCACCAAUUCACCCCCCCUCUUGGUGUGAGAAAUUGAGCCAUUCUAUUUUAACAAUUUUGUUUCAAUUCAUUCAUUUACUAUGUGCAUUUAAUUAUUUUUCAUCCAGUACUCAUUCUAAUGCUUGCUAUUUGAGUGACUUCUAAUCUGUUUGUGUUUGUGCUUGUUGUACCUAAAUGAAAAUAAUCCUAUGGAGACUCAAAUUGAACAUCAAGGAGUUGUUCCCAAGAGCUAUCAACAACCGCGUGGACUUUCCUUGGACCACAUCAUUGGAGACAUAUCAAAAGUGGUAACUACUAGACACAAUUUAAAUAACUUUUGCCUAACAGUAGCUUUUGUGUCUCAAAUAGAAGCCAAGAACAUAAAAGAAGCUCUUCAAGAUGAUAAGUGGUGCAUUGCUAUGCAUGAAGAGCUAAACCAAUUUGAAAGCAAUGACGUUUGGGAACUCAUUCCUAGAAAAGAGGACUAUCAAAUCAUUGGGACAAAAUGGGUGUUCAGAAACAAGCUAGAUGAAGAUGGAAACAUCACAAAGAACAAAGUAAGGCUAGUAGCUAAGGGCUGCUGUCAAGAGGAAGGUAUAGACUAUGAUGAGACUUAUGCCCCUGUAGCCAGGUUAGAAGCAAUUAUUUGGCUAAAGAAAAGAGAUCCUUACAGAAGCUGGCUGACAUUUCUGAGAAAAUACACUUGAAAGACUCUUUGUACAUGAAGGCCUAAACAUGGAAGAAAAGAUAACAUCAUAUCUUCUUGUAUGGGUGAUUCUGCAUAGAAUAUUGCUGCAGGAUAGAAUGACCACAGAAGAUGUUUAUCUGUUACAUGCUAUUAAGAAUGAUGUUGCCACCAACUAGGUGGAGGUUUUAAAAGAUCACAAGACUAAAGCUACCCUAAGUCAAUCACAUUAUCUGCCAUAUGCAGUUCUGGUUAGCAGGAUGUUAAUUCUUCAAGGUGUGAAUGUUGAUGAAGAGUAGAAAUGCUCAUGUAACUGCACAAAUGUGGUUAACCGAAACAUUUUUGCGUCUCUUGGGUUAGUAAAGACAAUGAGAAGGUGGUGCUUCAAAGAGGAAGAAGAUUUGGUCUAUAGUUCAGGUAACUCACCUGCUGCAAAUGAAGACAAAACCAACUUUCGUCCUGAAACUAAUUUUGAGAGGUUUGUAGCUAACCAGUUCAGAAAUCUAAAUGAAAGAGUGACAAACCUUGAGAGAAAACUUGACAAUGCUCAACAUCAGAGAGAAGAUGUAUCUUCUGAUAAAGACUCUAAGAACUCUUCUGAUUCGGAAUAGGGCUCUGGGAUUACACAUCUUGAGUCUUGUGUUUAUGUUUUCAGUCUUUUGGUUCUUUAGUGUUCUGAUUAUAAUGAUUUAGUUUGUUUUGGUUGUAUUGUUAACUUUUUAUGCCAUUAUUGUUUUGGCUUU